rnacentral:tRNA from 1 species
GGAGAUGUGGCUCAGUGGUUAAGAGCACUGGCUGCUCUUCCAGAAGACUGGGGUUCAAGUCUCAACAUCCA